rnacentral:rRNA from 1 species
UGAACGCUGGCGGCGUGCCUAAUACAUGCACGUCGAGCGAACAGAUAAGGAGCUUGCUCCUUUGACGUUAGCGGCGGACGGGUGAGUAACACGUGGGUAACCUACCUAUAAGACUGGGAUAACUUCGGGAAACCGGAGCUAAUACCGGAUAAUAUUUCGAACCGCAUGGUUCGAUAGUGAAAGAUGGUUUUGCUAUCACUUAUAGAUGGACCCGCGCCGUAUUAGCUAGUUGGUAAGGUAACGGCUUACCAAGGCGACGAUACGUAGCCGACCUGAGAGGGUGAUCGGCCACACUGGAACUGAGACACGGUCCAGACUCCUACGGGAGGCAGCAGUAGGGAAUCUUCCGCAAUGGGCGAAAGCCUGACGGAGCAACGCCGCGUGAGUGAUGAAGGUCUUCGGAUCGUAAAACUCUGUUAUUAGGGAAGAACAUACGUGUAAGUAACUGUGCACGUCUUGACGGUACCUAAUCAGAAAGCCACGGCUAACUACGUG